rnacentral:rRNA from 1 species
GAUGAACGCUGGCGGCGUGCCUAAUACAUGCAAGUCGAACGCUGGAACUCUAGCUUGCUAGCUUGAAGGAGUGGCGAACGGGUGAGUAAUACAUAAGCAACCUACCCACGAAGACUGGGAUAUCUCUGGAAACGGGGACUAAUACCGGAUAGGUAAUCGGAAGGCAUCUUCUGAUUAUUAAAGGUUAAAAACACUGGUGGAUGGGCUUAUGGCGCAUUAGUUAGUUGGUGAGGUAACGGCCCACCAAGACGAUGAUGCGUAGCCGGCCUGAGAGGGUGAACGGCCACAUUGGGACUGGGACCCGGACCAGACUGCUACGGGAGGGAGCAGUAGGGAAUUUUCGGGAAUGGAGGAAACCCUGACCGCGCAACGCCGCGUGAGUGAUGACGGCCUUCGGGUUGUAAAGCUCUGUUGUAAGGGAAGAACGGUAGAUAGAGAAUAUCUAAAUGACGGUACCUUACCAGAAAGCCACGGCUAACUACGUG